rnacentral:rRNA from 1 species
UACGUAGGGGGCAAGCGUUGUCCGGAUUUAUUGGGCGUAAAGAGCGUGUAGGCGGUCAGGUAGGUCCGUUGUGAAAACUCGAGGCUCAACCUCGAGACGCCGAUGGAAACCAUCUGACUAGAGUCCGGAAGAGGAGAGUGGAAUUCCCGGUGUAGCGGUGAAAUGCGUAGAUAUCAGGAGGAACACCGGUGGCGAAGGCGGCUCUCUGGACGGUGACUGACGCUGAGACGCGAAAGCGUGGGGAGCAAACAGG